rnacentral:rRNA from 1 species
CCCUUAGAUGUUCUGGGCCGCACACGCGCUACGCUGAAGGAGGCAGCGUGUACUCCUGGAUCGAAAGAUUUGGGUAACCCGCGAAUCUCCUUCGUGCUAGGGAUUGAGGUUUGCAAUUAUCCUUCAUGAACGAGGAAUUCCCAGUAAGUGCAAGUCAUAAGCUUGCGCUGACUACGUCCCUGCCCUUUGUACACACCGCCCGUCGCUACUACCGAUUGAAUGAUUUAGUGAGGACUUCGGACUGGGACCGAUGCGGCUUUCGGGCUGCGUCGGUAUUCUGGAAAGAUGUCCAAACUGUAUCAUUUAGAGGAAGUAAAAGUCGUANCA